rnacentral:lncRNA from 1 species
AUGAAUAGGUCGGAAUAUGAACGAGAGGCUGCUAGGCAGCUCUCUAACACCACAUUCUACAGGCCUUUACCCUUUGAUCCCACUGAGGGUUACCAAAAGAAACUACACCAUCUGCUCAAGAAACUCCCUGAAAAAGCACAAGAACAAAUAUGCACAGACACACCCCUACAAUUCCGACCAGGGGUAUACUAUCUGCUACCCAAGAUCCAUAAACCUGGAAAUCCUGGAUGCCCCAUCAUCUCAGGCAUUGGCACCCUGACAGCAGGAUUGUCUGGAUAUGUAGACUCUCUCCUCAGGCCCUACGCUACCAGCACUCCUAGCUAUCGUCGAGACACCACUGACUUCCUGAGCAAACUACAAUCCACUGGUGAUCUUCCAGAAAACACCGUCCUGGCCACUAUGGAUGUAGAAGCCCUCUACACCAACAUUCCACACAAAGAUGGACUACAAGCUAUCAGGAACAGUAUCCCCAAUAAUGUCAUGGCAAACCUGGUGACUGAACUUUGUGACUUUGUCCUCACCCACAACUAUUUCACAUUUGGGGACAAUGUAUACCUUCAAGUCAGCGGCACUGCUAUGGGUACCCGCAUGGCCCCACAGUAUGCCAACAUUUUUAUGGCUGACUUAGAACAACGCUUCCUCAGCUCUCGUCCCCUAAUGCCCCUACUCUACUUACGCUACAUUGAUGACAUCUUUAUCAUCUGGACCCAUGGAAAAGAAGUCCUUGAGGAAUUCCACCAUGAUUUCAACAAUUUCCAUCCCACCAUCAACCUCAGCCUGGACCAGUCCACACAAGAGAUCCACUUCCUGGACACUACAGUGCUAAUAAGCGAUGGUCACAUAAACACCACCUUAUACUGGAAACCUACUGAUCGUUGUACUUACGUACAUGCCUCCAGCUUUCAUCCAGCCCACACCACACAGUCCAUUGUUUACAACCAAGCUCUAAGAUACAACUGCAUUUGCUCCAACCCCCCUCAGACAGAGACAAACACCUACAUGAUCUCUAUAAAGCAUUCUUACAACUACAGUACCCACCUGCUGAAGUGA